GUGCGACCCCAGGAUGGGCGGGGUGACCCGCUGAGUUUAAGCAUAUCAAUAAGCGGAGGAGAAGAAACUUACAAGGAUUCCCCUA
rnacentral:rRNA from 8 species